CGACCACCGAGUGGCCCGUAAGUCAUA
rnacentral:sRNA from 1 species